CGGCGGCCAGCCGGCGGCACCGGGCUACUUCGCCUUCGACGCGGUGCUCAAUCGCAAGGCCCGGCAGCUGUUCGACUCCACCGCGGCCGCCC
rnacentral:tRNA from 1 species